rnacentral:rRNA from 1 species
CGCACUCUUCGGAGUGAGCGGCGGACGGGUUAGUAACGCGUGGGAACGUGCCCUUCUCUAAGGAAUAGCCACUGGAAACGGUGAGUAAUACCUUAUACGCCCUUCGGGGGAAAGAUUUAUCGGAGAAGGAUCGGCCCGCGUUAGAUUAGAUAGUUGGUGGGUAACGGCCUACCAAGUCUACGAUCUAUAGCUGGUUUUAGAGGAUGAUCAGCAACACUGGGACUGAGACACGGCCCAGACUCCUACGGGAGGCAGCAGUGGGGAAUCUUGGACAAUGGGCGCAAGCCUGAUCCAGCCAUGCCGCGUGAGUGAUGAAGGCCUUAGGGUCGUAAAGCUCUUUCGCCAGAGAUGAUAAUGACAGUAUCUGGUAAAGAAACCCCGGCUAACUCCGUGCCAGCAGCCGCGGUAAUACGGAGGGGGUUAGCGUUGUUCGGAAUUACUGGGCGUAAAGCGCACGUAGGCGGAUCAGAAAGUUGGGGGUGAAAUCCCGGGGCUCAACCCCGGAACUGCCUCCAAAACUCCUGGUCUUGAGUUCGAGAGAGGUGAGUGGAAUUCCGAGUGUAGAGGUGAAAUUCGUAGAUAUUCGGAGGAACACCAGUGGCGAAGGCGGCUCACUGGCAUACUGACGCUGAGGUGCGAAAGUGUGGGGUGCAAACAGGAUUAGAUACCCUGGUAGUCCACACCGUAAACGAUGAAUGCCAGUCGUCGGCAAGCAUGCUUGUCGGUGACACACCUAACGGAUUAAGCAUUCCGCCUGGGGAGUACGGUCGCAAGAUUAAAA